CCUACGGGUGGCAGCAGUGAGGAAUAUUGGUCAAUGGGCGCGAGCCUGAACCAGCGAAGUAGCGUGAAGGAUGACUGCCCUACGGGUUGUAAACUUCUUUUGUAAAGGAAUAAAGUGAGGCACGUGUGCCUUUUUCUAUGUCCUUUAUGAAUACGGCUCGCCUAACUCCGUGCCAGCAGCCGCGGUAAUACGGAGGAUCCGGGCGUUAUCCGGAUUUAUUGGGUUUAAAGGGAGCGUAGAUGGGUUGUUAAGUCAGUUGUGAAAGUUUGCGGCUCAACCGUAAAAUUGCAAUUGAUACUGGCAGGCUUGAGUACAGUAGAGGUAGGCGGAAUUCGUGGUGUAGCGGUGAAAUGCUUAGAUAUCACGAAGAACUCCGAUUGCGAAGGCAGCUUACUAAACUGCCACUGACAUUGAUGCUCGAAAGUGUGGGGAGCAAACAGGAUUAGAUACCCCUGUAGUC
rnacentral:rRNA from 1 species